rnacentral:rRNA from 1 species
ACCUCCAGCCUGCAGUGGGUACGGGCAGACUAGAGUGCGGUAGGGGAGAUUGGAAUUCCUGGUGUAGCGGUGGAAUGCGCAGAUAUCAGGAGGAACACCGAUGGCGAAGGCAGAUCUCUGGGCCGUAACUGACGCUGAGGAGCGAAAGCAUGGGAGCGAACAGGAUUAGAUACCCUGGUAGUCCAUGCCGUAAACGUUGGGAACUAGAUGUGGGGGCCAUUCCACGGUCUCCGUGUCGCAGCUAACGCAUUAAGUUCCCCGCCUGGGGAGUACGGCCGCAAGGCUAAAACUCAAAGGAAUUGACGGGGGCCCGCACAAGCGGCGGAGCAUGCGGAUUAAUUCGAUGCAACGCGAAGAACCUUACCAAGGCUUGACAUAUACGAGAACGGGCCAGAAAUGGUCAACUCUUUGGACACUCGUAAACAGGUGGUGCAUGGUUGUCGUCAGCUCGUGUCGUGAGAUGUUGGGUUAAGUCCCGCAACGAGCGCAACCCUCGUUCUAUGUUGCCAGCACGUUAUGGUGGGAACUCAUAGGAGACUGCCGGGGUCAACUCGGAGGAAGGUGGGGAUGACGUCAAAUCAUCAUGCCCCUUAUGUCUUGGGCUUCACGCAUGCUACAAUGGCCGGUACAAAGGGCUGCAAUACCGUAAGGUGGAGCGAAUCCCAAAAAGCCGGUCUCAGUUCGGAUUGAGGUCUGCAACUCGACCUCAUGAAGUCGGAGUCGCUAGUAAUCGCAGAUCAGCAACGCUGCGGUGAAUACGUUCCCGGGCCUUGUACACACCGCCCGUCAAGUCAUGAAAGUCGGUAACACCCAACGCCAGUGGCCUAUUACG